UACGUAGGGGGCGAGCGUUGUCCGAAGUUACUGGGCGUAAAGAGCGCGUAGGCGGGCUUCUAAGUGAGAGGUGAAAGGUUCGGGCUCAACCCGGAGAGUGCCUUUCAUACUGGGAGCCUUGAGUGCGGGAGAGGCAAGUGGAAUGGUCGGUGUAGCGGUGAAAUGCGUAGAUAUCGAUCGGAACACCCGUGGCGAAGGCGGCUCACUGGACCGGUACUGACGCUGAUGCGCGAAAGCGUGGGGAGCAAACGGG
rnacentral:rRNA from 1 species